CACGUAGGGGGCAAGCGUUGUCCGGAUUUAUUGGGCGUAAAGAGCUCGUAGGCGGUUUCGUAAGUCGGAUGUGAAAACUCCAGGCUCAACUUGGAGACGCCAUUCGAUACUGCGAUGACUUGAGUCCGGUAGGGGAGUGUGGAAUUCCUGGUGUAGCGGUGGAAUGCGUAGAGAUCCGGAAGAACACCGGUGGCGAAGGCGGCCUGCUGGGCAGUGGCUGACGCUGAGGCGCGACAGCGUGGGGAGCAAACAGG
rnacentral:rRNA from 1 species